rnacentral:rRNA from 1 species
CAGUAGCCGCGGGAAUACGUAGGUGGCAAGCGUUGUCCGGAAUUAUUGGGUGUAAAGGGCUCGCAGGCGGUUUCUUAAGUCUGAUGUGAAAGCCCCCGGCUCAACCGGGGAGGGUCAUUGGAAACUGGGAAACUUGAGUGCAGAAGAGGAGAGUGGAAUUCCACGUGUAGCGGUGAAAUGCGUAGAGAUGUGGAGGAACACCAGUGGCGAAGGCGACUCUCUGGUCUGUAACUGACGCUGAGGAGCGAAAGCGUGGGGAGCGAACAGGAUUAGAUACCCCCGUAGUCCCUGUCUCUUAUAC